GGUUUGAAUAGGCUGAUGUGAAAGCCCACGGCUUAACCGGAGUAGUGCAUUGGAAACUGGGAGACUUGAGUGCAGAAGAGGAGAGUGGAACUCCAUGUGUAGCGGUGAAAUGCGUAGAUAUAUGGAAGAACACCAGUGGCGAAAGCGGCUCUCUGGUCUGUAACUGACGCUGAGGUUCGAAAGCGUGGGUAGCA
rnacentral:rRNA from 1 species